rnacentral:rRNA from 1 species
UACGUAGGGUGCGAGCGUUGUCCGGAAUUACUGGGCGUAAAGAGCUCGUAGGUGGUUUGUCGCGUUGUUCGUGAAAACCGGGGGCUUAACCCUCGGCGUGCGGGCGAUACGGGCAGACUUGAGUACUGCAGGGGAGACUGGAAUUCCUGGUGUAGCGGUGGAAUGCGCAGAUAUCAGGAGGAACACCGGUGGCGAAGGCGGGUCUCUGGACAACACCUGACACUGAGGCACGAAAGCUAGGGGAGCAAACAGG